GUAAAGAAUAUUGCUGUUCAGAGUGACUGCCUCUCCCCAUUGGUAUCUUACAGCUGAUUUGCAUCCCCAUGUGCCUAACAAAAACAGAAAACCACAGGGGGAGGUAGGAAAUGUUACAUGCAAAAUUAUGUACCAUCUAUAUCUGAUGAAAUGAAAAGUAUUUGGAAAGACUCAAUGGCUCUUCACCAGAUGUUAUUGAGGAACCUGGAGAUCCUGUCAGGGAUGAAGUGGAUUAUUCGUGGCCUCCUGCUUAUUUUAUCUGCUUUUCUCUGCAUAUCUGCAUAUCCAAAACCUGUUUGUCCUCUAAAGUCAAAAUCUGCAUGCACACAAAAUGGAAAUAAUAAGAUCAAUAUGUUCAUACUGGGUCCAUGUGGUUUUAAAGGAUACAUGGAAAUAAAGAACCUAUUCAAAGUCUAUGCUUUUCCAAUUGUUGAAAACGCAUCCGGUACAACACACAGUAGUGACUGUGGUGUUACUUUAUCAGGCAACUCACCUUACAAACUCAACAUAAACAGAUGUGUUAUGCCCAGGUUUGUCUGUUUAAUUGAAAAGAAAUGUAAAACUGACACUUUGACACACUGGAUGACAGAAGGUUGUAACUGGAUCCACCAAACCCCUACGUAUUUUAAGAAUGAUACAUGUAAUAUGACCUGCCUGAAUCCCAGAAAGACGUGUGAGAAUGCACAAUAUGAUUUGAACUGUAAAGGUGAUAAUGUAGGUAAUAUAAACAACAUUGUCAUCAGUGAUAACAUUCCAACUUGUUAUAAGUGUGGAAGUCCUCUUCCAAAUACGCCAAAAAUUAACACAUCCACAGUUUAUUUCAAUACUAAUAAAACAGAGAUAGAUGCUUCGGCAGCUGCUAAGGUCAUGGGAAACCUCUCCAGUGUUGUGUCUUUGAUGGGGAAUCAAACCGUUGCCUCUAUAUCCAUGGGUAAUGUUCAAGGGGUUUUAAAGAAAAUUCAAACUGAGUCUGAAAUCACAACAUCCUACUUCAUCUACUCUUCAGAAUCUGGCAUCAGUGUUAUAGAGGAUUUGGACGAACUGGAGAAUUUUCCCAAUGCUUUCUGUAUUCCAGCAGAAGCAGCUAAGGAAGCGCUCAACCAAAGUGCAGGAAGUGCUUUUAUGGGUAUUUUCCGCUUUCCCAACAUGUCAAAGGAUGCAGAGAAUAGUACGGUUUUGAAUGAUGAGGUUUAUGCAAUCGAAAUGGGGACAAAAAUUUCAAAUCUGAGUGAAAACAUCAGCUUGACAUUCGAAUAUCAGGUAUUCAAAUGUAUGGGGAAAAAAAGUGUUUCUAGAAAUGUAAAAUGCAUCCGAAUCUUAUUUUGUGAAAUUCUGAUGUAUUUCUCAGCAGGAGAAAGAGAAAAUUCCUGUUUGUCACUCAUGGGAUGGAAGCGGUCUGUGAUGCUCUUGUGUUCUUGUUUUUUAUUUGUGCAUUUUUUUUAUAGCACAGACAUUGAAAUAUUCUUUAAAAAAUGUCACAUUAAAAUAAUACACUUUCAGUUUCCAUAUCACAGAGAGCUAAAUUUCAAUGUUGGCAUUCGUACUUAAGCAAAUUUAGGAGAAUUGGUUAAGAGUUUGAAUCUUUCGCCCCAUGCUGCUGACCAAAGCAUAAUGUCAGUUUCAUUAAUUCCCUCUAAAUCUACUCAAAACUAACCAGUCCCUCCUUUUUUCAGGAAAUAGGCCAAACUGGACAACCGAAGGGUGCAGUACCCUUGAAGGAAUAAACAAUGUAACAUGUCAAUGCA
ensembl:lncRNA